rnacentral:rRNA from 1 species
CGUGGCUACCUGCCCUUGGGACGAGAACAACCCCGGGAAACUGGGGCUAAUUCGCGAUAGGCGAAGAACUCUGGAAUGAGUCUUCACCUAAAAGACAUUGCGUUAUGCUCGUAGUGUCGCCCAAGGAUGGGGCCGCGACCGAUCAGGUUGUUGGUGAGGUAAUGGCUCACCAAGCCUUUUACCGGUGCGGGCCGUGGGAGCGGGAGCCCGGAGAUGGGCACUGAGACAAGGGCCCAGGCCCUACGGGGCGCAGCAGUCGCGAAAACUUUGCAAUAAGCGAAAGCUUGACAGGGCUAUCCCGAGUGCCAUCCGCUGAGGAAGGCUUUUACCCAGUCUAGAACGCUGGGGGAAUAAGGAGAGGGCAAGUCUGGUGUCAGCCGCCGCGGUAAUACCAGCUCUCCGAGUGGUGUGGAUGUUUAUUGGGCCUAAAGCAUCCGUAGCUGGCUAGGUAAGUCCCCUGUUAAAUCCACCGAAUUAAUCGUUGGAUUGCGGGGGAUACUGCUUGGCUAGGGGACGAGAGAGGCAGACGGUAUUUCCGGGGUAGGGGUGAAAUCCUAUAAUCCCGGGAAGACCACCAGUGGCGAAGGCUGUCUGCUAGAACGCGCCCGACGGUGAGGGAUGAAAGCUGGGGGAGCGAACCGGAUUAGAUACCCGGGUAGUCCCAGCUGU